rnacentral:tRNA from 1 species
AANUCGUNGCGGUACGGAUUAAAAUCCGUUGACUUUAGUGAUCGUGAGGGUUCAAGUCCCUCUACCCCUA